AACGAACGCUGGCGGCAGGCUUAACACAUGCAAGUCGAACGCUCGUGGCAACACGGGAGUGGCGGACGGGUGAGUAACGCGUGGGAACGUGCCCUGAGGUUGGGAAUAACUGCGGGAAACUGCAGCUAAUACCUGAUGAGCCCCGAGAGGGGGAAAGAUUUAUCGCCUUGGGAGCGGCCCGCGUCGGAUUAGCUAGUUGGUGGGGUAACGGCCUACCAAGGCUUCGAUCCGUAGCUGGUCUGAGAGGACGAUCAGCCACACUGGGACUGAGACACGGCCCAGACUCCUACGGGAGGCAGCAGUGGGGAAUCUUGCGCAAUGGGGGCAACCCUGACGCAGCCAUGCCGCGUGAAUGAUGAAGGCCUUAGGGUUGUAAAGUUCUUUUGCCCGUGACGAUGAUGACGGUAACGGGAGAAUAAGCUCCGGCUAACUUCGUGCCAGCAGCCGCGGUAAGCUCGUCUCUA
rnacentral:rRNA from 1 species